rnacentral:rRNA from 1 species
UACGUAGGUGGCAAGCGUUGUCCGGAUUUAUUGGGCGUAAAGCGCACGCAGGCGGUUGGAUAAGUUAGAUGUGAAAGCCCCGGGCUCAACCUGGGAAUUGCAUUUAAAACUGUCCAGCUAGAGUCUUGUAGAGGGGGGUAGAAUUCCAGGUGUAGCGGUGAAAUGCGUAGAGAUCUGGAGGAAUACCGGUGGCGAAGGCGGCCCCCUGGACAAAGACUGACGCUCAGGUGCGAAAGCGUGGGGAGCAAACAGGAUUAGAUACCCUGGUAGUCCACGCCGUAAACGAUGUCGAUUUGGAGGCUGUGUCCUUGAGACGUGGCUUCCGGAGCUAACGCGUUAAAUCGACCGCCUGGGGAGUACGGCCGCAAGGUUAAA